GUGAGUGUCUAUAUGAAGAGUUUAUGCAAGGCACUACAACUGCUUCAGCCUUUGCUUUGAUGCUCAUCUUGGGGGAAAUCUGAAGAGCAGAAGUUGAGGUGUGAGUAUCUGUAAAGGUGACUUAAGAGCAUUGCUGAUUACAGGGGGUGAGCAAGAACCUGGGUCCCCAGUUACACUUAAAGAGUGACUCGGAGCAUCUGUGUCAAGUGCAUGCACAUGUACGUUAAAGUAUUAUCCCACUAAGGAAAUAGCAACCGGACCCCAAGCAGAUGGUCCUUUGGCUGUCUUCAGAACUGGAAGACAGUUUUGGGGUAGGAUUAUUUCAGAAACUGCACUUGGUCAGAAACAGAAGAUAGAAGCUUACAAAAUUAGCCCUGUGAUUUCCUUUCAUGACAACUUUCAUAACCGUUUUAGCAUCUAUAAAGUAAAUGCUGACAACAAACUUAAGCUCAUUACAAAUGGCUAUAUUUAAUGGCCUGAUUAUAUGGACAUAUCUGACUGUUAGUAAUGCCGUGAAAGAAAUGCAUUGUAGAUAUUGAUUGCUGGAGUAAUUAUGAGUCAUUUCCUCUGAUGGAGUGCUUGUGCCAAUGGAGGUUAGGAUGCCCAAGGGGCUGUUUUAGGUUAAAAAAUGGAAACAGAAAGGGACGGUGCUUGUAGCGUGGCAAUGAUUUCCAUUCAGAAAACAUCUUUACGAGUUUUCUUGUCUUUAGUAGAAAAGGAUUCACAUCCCUUUUACUACAAAACUUGGAGAAUAAUAAAUCAAGGUUAAAAAUGUCUAAAGAGGGCAAGAUACUAUACAUCCGAAGGCUUUGUAACAUUAUAUAUUCCUGAAAGAACAAAUCCUGGAUUAGAUUUAACUGUUGGAAGAAAUAUGACAUGUAAUAGCCUUGAAUAUGGUUUGAUCUGGGACCAUGGAGAUGUUGUGAAUGUUCUGUGCUGCUCUCCUCUGAAGAAGUGUUUUUCACAGGUAAAUAACAUAUCUGGGCCCUG